CAUAGAAGUUAAAUAGUUAUUAUUCUGCAAAAUAGGUACCAUAGAUGUAAAAGAAUGUUAAAAUUAGCCAACGUUCAAAUGGAUUCAUACUGGUUGCCUGAUCUAUGAGUAGGUACGAAAGCAGACCUGAUACUAAAAGUGUUCUACUCAGCUUGCUGUGUUUUCUCUCCUCAUCACUUGGGGCUCAUGACAUGCCUGCCCCAUAGAAGCCACCUGACAAACUGCUUCCUGAUGGUGGCUGGUCUACACAUGUAUACAGACUUGCCAUGGUUCAGCCUCCACAGUGUCUCCUCCGUGCCAGAGCAAACUCCUACCAGGAAUGUUUAGAAAUAACUAGCAGACUCACCAUGCAGAUGGCUUCAUCCACCGGGCAAGCCGGUACACACAAAACAACUCACUGUGUUGAAUAGCUGCCAUGGAGAUGCAGCCCCCACAGGCCAGCCAUCAAAUGAGAAAUGACCCUUUAUUAGCUGAGCUUGUGAUCACAGCUCUUAAAACAUCAGCUAAAUCCUGUACAGAACUAGAAGCCAGUUCCAACCAUGCCAUUCUCCGAGAGCAGAAUACAACGCCAGACUGAAGAAGCCCCAAGGAGACAUGUGUCCUGAAACCUCAAUUGACCACAGAUCCAAGAUGAGUCAAGGUGACGUUGUAGAAAUCAAGGCUCCCAGGAGGUCUCUUCCAUGACACUUUUAAUGUAUCCAAGCUGCCAUCAUUAACUACCAUCAAAUCUAAGACUUUGGCUGGAACUGUUAACAAAAACAGCAAUAAAUAUAUCUGCUGAGUAGACAAAAAUGC